UCAAGCGAGGAAGGGUCUACGGGGGAUGCCUGUAGGAGCUACGAGACGAGGAAGGCCGUGGUAAGCUGCGAAAAGCCUGGGGGAGGAGCACACAUCCAGAGAUCCCGGGGUAGCCGAAUGGGGUAACCUGCUUCAGUGAAGCUGAAGCGUCGUCAUGUGAAACGAUAGGAUGACGAGGGAAGACUCAGGGAACUGAACCAUCUCAGUACCUGAAGGAGAAGAAAUCAAACGAGAUUCCUUAAGUAGCGGCGAGCGAACGAGGAGGAGCCCAAACCGUAAGCGUGUCAAGUCUUACAGCGUUGCGCGUACGGGGUUGAAAGUGUAUCUGGUGGGGUCAUGUAAGGGGCUCUGCUUACUGUACGGUUUAUAGGGGAACGGUUCUGGGAAGGCCGACCGGAGGGGGUGAAAGUCCCGUACCUGAAAUAGAGUGUGCAGUGAGUACAGAUAGACUUGAGUACAGCGGGGCACGAGAAACCCUGCUGGAAGCUGGGUCGACCACGAUCCAAGGCUAAAUAUGAGGUAGCUACCGAUAGAGCAAGAGUACCGUGAGGGAAAGGUGAAAAGGACCCCGGGAGGGGAGUGAAAGAGAACCUGAAACCGUAGACCUACAAGCAGUCAGAGCCUCAUGCGAAUGGGGUGAUGGCGUGCCUUUUGUAGAAUGAGCCUGCGAGUUACGAUGUAUAGCGAGGUUAAGGCAUAGGAGUGCCGGAGCCGGGAGGGAAACCGAGUCUGAAUAGGGCGAGUAGUUAUAUGUCGUAGACCCGAAGCCGAGUGAUCUAUCCAUGGCCAGGCUGAAGCUUGAGUAAAAUCAAGUGGAGGGCCGAACUCUAGUCUGUUUAAAAAGGCAGGGAUGAGCUGUGGAUGGGGGUGAAAGGCCAAUCAAACUCGGAGAUAGCUGGCACUCCUCGAAAUAGCUUUAGGGCUAGCCUCAUAUGGACUGUUACGGAGGUAGAGCACUGGAUGGGCUAGGGCCCUUCACCGGGUACCAAACUCAACCAAACUCCGAAUGCCGUAAGAGAAUGUAUGGGAGUCAGACUACGGGCGAUAAGGUUCGUGGUCAAAAGGGGAACAGCCCAGACCGUUAGCUAAGGUCUCGAAACUAUGCUGAGUGGAAAAGGAAGUGUAAUUACACAGACAGCCAGGAGGUUGGCUUAGAAGCAGCCAUACCUUUAAAGAGUGCGUAACAGCUCACUGGUCGAGUAGUUAUGCGCUGAUAAUGUAACGGGGCUUAGAAGCAUAGUACCGAAGCUGCGGAUCAGGAGAGAUUCUGGUGGUAGAGGAGCAUUCCAUGGACCGAAGAAGGUGAGCCGGGAGGCGAGCUGGAGGGGAUGGAAGAGAGGAUGCAGGCAUGAGUAACGAAAAGAGGGGUGAGAUUCCCCUCCGCCGAAAGCCUAAGGAUUCCAGGGUUAAGGUAAUCUGCCCAAGGGUUAGUCGGUCCCUAAGGCGAGGACGAAAGUCGUAGUCGAUGGGAAACGGGUGAAUAAUCCCGUACCUCUUACCAACUGCGAAGGAACGACGCAUGAGGUCGUACCCUUACCGGGUGACGGAAGUCCCGGUUCAAAGGAUGCGAGUCCGUUUGGAGCCUGUCAGGGAAAUCCGGCAGGUGAGGAUGAGCACUGAAAGGGAGCCGAUAGCUACGCGCGAGGGCGAAGAAGGGGAGAUCAAGGUGCCAAGAAAUAGUUUCUAAGCGAUAGGGGGUAGGAGACCGUACCGCAAACCGACACAGGUAGGCGGGAAGAGGAUUCUAAGGCGCGCGGGAGAAUUCGCGUUAAGGAACUCGGCAACAUACACACGUAACUUCGGAAGAAGUGUGGCCUUUUGUGCCUGUAACAGGGUAUGGGAGGUUGCAGAGAAAUGGCCCAAGCGACUGUUUACCAAAAACACAAGUCUCUGCGAAUCAGCAAUGAGACGUAUAGGGACUGACACCUGCCCGGUGCCGGAAGGUUAAGGGGAGUGGUUAACAUUCGAAAGGAUGUGAAGCUACGAACUGAAGCCCCGGUAAACGGCGGCCGUAACUAUAACGGUCCUAAGGUAGCGAAAUUCCUUGUCGGGUAAGUUCCGAC
rnacentral:rRNA from 1 species